GCUUAGAGGUUUUUUGCCCCUACCUCUCACUUUCUGCCCUUUGGCAGCUUAUUCUGAAAUGGCCCUUCUCUACAGUUGGGCUAAAAUUUCUGCAAAUGGCAAAAGGACAUUGAACAUUAGCAGAGCACCUACUUGGGGUCAAGUGUUUUGUGCCCUCCUAGGCUUUAACUUGUACCGCAUGAGUGGGACAGGUAAGUCACGGGUGAGAGCAAAACAAAAACCAGUGAUAGGGCUUGGGAAUUUCCAUUUUCUGGGACCCUCCUAGACCUCACAUUAUGUGUCUUUUCAUUUGGCUGGUCCUCAUUUAUACCCUUUAUAGUAAAACUGUAAUUAUAAAGAUAGGGCUUUCCUGAGUUAUAAGAGUUGUUCUACUAAAUUAUUGGGCCUGUCAAGGCCGUGGGAACUCCAGAAUUUGUAGCCAGUUUGUUAUAAGUGUGAAUAGCUCACUUGCAGCUAGCAUCUGAAGUAAGGGCAGUCCUGUUGGGCACUGUGCCCUUAACUUGUGGGGUCUGUGCUACCUCCAGACAGAAUUGUGCUGCACUGUCAUUCCUAUGACUUACUUUGACUAACAGAAUGUGGCAGAAGUGCUACCGUUUGAAUUUCAGAGCCCUGCAAUUCAUCCUUGCUCUCUUGGAACCCGAAGGCCACCAUGUUGUAAAGAAGUCCUUAAUAAAUACUUCAUGUAGAUGCCAGGCCAUACCAGUUGUCCAUGAACCCAGGCCCCAGGGAACCAGCCAGCUGCAUGAAUGAGCCCUGGAAAAACCAGCAGAACCACCUAACCAGCCCAAACAUUUGUGAGAAUAAAUUGCUAUUGUUUGAAGUAA